rnacentral:rRNA from 1 species
GGCCAGCUGACGAUCGACGCCGGUGUGCGAUGAAGGCCCUUCGGGUUGUAAAGCACUGUCGAGAGGGAGCAAGCCGCAAGGUUGAGCGACCUCUGGAGGAAGCACGGGCUAAGUUCCUGCCAGCAGCCGCGGUAAGACGAACCGUGCGAACGUUGUUCGGAAUCACUGGGCUUAAAGGGCGCGUAGGCGGGAUGGCAAGUCGGAGGUGAAAGCCCCCAGCUUAACUGGGGAAGUGCCCUCGAUACUGCCGUUCUCGAGAGAGGUAGGGGCGUGUGGAACUUCCGGUGGAGCGGUGAAAUGCGUAGAUAUCGGAAGGAACGCCGGUGGCGAAAGCGAUGCGCUGGACCUUUUCUGACGCUGAGGCGCGAAAGCUAGGGGAGCGAACGGGAUUAGAUACCCCGGUAGUCCUAGCCCUAAACGAUGGGUACUGGGUUGCGGGUCAGACAUGGACUCGCAGCCGAAGCAAUAGUGGUAAGUACCCCGCCUGGGGAGUAUGGUCGCAAGGCUGAAACUCAAAGGAAUUGACGGGGGCUCACACAAGCGGUGGAGCAUGUGGCUUAAUUCGAGGCUAC